CCUACGGGAGGCAGCAGUGGGGGAUAUUGCACAAUGGGGGGAACCCUGAUGCAGCGACGCCGCGUGGGUGAAGGAGCGCUUCGGCGCGUAAAGCCCUAUCGGCAGGGAAGAAGGAGGACGGUACCUGACUAAGAAGCCCCGGCUAACUACGUGCCAGCAGCCGCGGUAAGACGUAGGGGGCAAGCGGUAUCCGGAUUUACUGGGUGUAAAGGGGGCGCAGACGGCAGCGCAAGCCAGGAGUGAAAGCCCGGGGCCCAACCCCGGGACUGCUCUUGGAACUGCGCGGCUGGAGUGCAGGAGGGGCAGGCGGAAUGCCUGGUGUAGCGGUGAAAUGCGUAGAUAUCAGGAGGAACACCGGUGGCGAAGGCGGCCUGCUGGACUGCGACUGACGUUGAGGCCCGAAAGCGUGGGUAGCAAACAGGAUUAGAUACCCCGGUAGUC
rnacentral:rRNA from 1 species